rnacentral:rRNA from 1 species
AGAGUUUGAUCCUGGCUCAGAUUGAACGCUGGCGGUAGGCUUAACACAUGCAAGUCGAGCGGAAACGAUGUAGCUUGCUACAGGCGUCGAGCGGCGGACGGGUGAGUAACGCGUAGGAACCUACCUAGUAGUUUGGGAUAGCCAUUGGAAACGAUGAUUAAUACCGGAUACGCCCCACGGGGGAAAGAGGGCUUCGGCUCUCGCUAUUAGAUGGGCCUGCGUAAGAUUAGCUAGUUGGUGAGGUAAAGGCUCACCAAGGCGACGAUCUUUAGCUGGUUUGAGAGGAUGAUCAGCCACACUGGGACUGAGACACGGCCCAGACUCCUACGGGAGGCAGCAGUGGGGAAUAUUGCACAAUGGGCGCAAGCCUGAUGCAGCCAUACCGCGUGUGUGAAGAAGGCCCUAGGGUUGUAAAGCACUUUCAGCGAGGAGGAAAGGUUAGUAGUUAAUACCUGCUAGCUGUGACGUUACUCGCAGAAGAAGGACCGGCUAACUCCGUGCCAGCAGCCGCGGUAAUACGGAGGGUCCGAGCGUUAAUCGGAAUUACUGGGCGUAAAGCGUACGUAGGUGGUUUGUUAAGUUGGAUGUGAAAGCCCAGGGCUCAACCUUGGAACUGCAUUCAAAACUGAUGAACUCGAGUAUGGUAGAGGUAAGUGGAAUUUCCUGUGUAGCGGUGAAAUGCGUAGAGAUGGGAAGGAACAUCAGUGGCGAAGGCGACUUACUGGACCAAUACUGACACUGAGGUACGAAAGCGUGGGUAGCAAACAGGAUUAGAUACCCUGGUAGUCCACGCCGUAAACGAUGUCUACUAGCCGUUGGGAUCCUUGAGAUCUUAGUGGCGCAGCUAACGCAGUAAGUAGACCGCCUGGGGAGUACGGUCGCAAGAUUAAAACUCAAAUGAAUUGACGGGGGCCCGCACAAGCGGUGGAGCAUGUGGUUUAAUUCGAAGCAACGCGAAGAACCUUACCUACUCUUGACAUCCACAGAACUUCUGAGAGAUCAGUUGGUGCCUUCGGGAACUGUGAGACAGGUGCUGCAUGGCUGUCGUCAGCUCGUGUUGUGAAAUGUUGGGUUAAGUCCCGUAACGAGCGCAACCCUUGUCCUUAGUUACCAUCAUUUAGUUGGGUACUUUAAGGAGACUGCCGGUGAC